UAAUUGAGUUACAGUUAAACCCAUAGUAAGCGUUGAGGUUAAUGUGCUUUAACUACAAAUACCACAGUAAAACUACAGUUAUUGUGGUAAACCCAAAGUAAGUGUUGAGGUUACUGUGCUUUAACUACAAAUACCACAGUAAAGUACAGUCACUGUAGUAAAAACAUAGUAAGAAUCAAGGUUAUUGUGCUUUUACUACAAAUACCACAGUAAAACUACAGUUACUGAGGUAAACCCAUAGUAAGCAUUGAGGUUACUGUGCUUUAACUACAAAUACCACAGUAAAGUACAGUCACUGUAGUAACAACAUAGUAAGAAUCAAGGUUAUUGUGCUUUUACUACAAAUACCACAGUAAAACUACAGUUACUGAGGUAAACCCAUAGUAAGCAUUGAGGUUACUGUGCUUUAACUACAAAUACCACAGUAAAGUACAGUCACUGUAGUAAAAACAUAGUAAGAAUCAAGGUUAUUGUGCUUUUACUACAAAUACCACAGUAAAACUACAGUUACUGAGGUAAACCCAUAGUAAGCAUUGAGGUUACUGUGCUUUAACUACAAAUACCACAGUAAAGUACAGUCACUGUAGUAAAAACAUAGUAAGAAUCAAGGUUAUUGUGCUUUUACUACAAAUACCACAGUAAAACUACAGUUACUGAGGUAAACCCAUAGUAAGUGUUGAGGUUACUGUGCUUUAACUACAAAUACCACAGUAAAGUACAGUCACUGUAGUAAAAACAUAGUAAGAAUCAAGGUUAUUGUGCUUUUACUACAAAUACCACAGUAAAACUACAGUUACUGAGGUAAACCCAUAGUAAGUGUUGAGGUUGCUGUGCUUUAACUA